UUCAGUCAAAAGACCAAUAAACACUCUCUGCUAUUCUUCUUAACCGUGUCAUCUCCUCUAUGAGAGUCAACCAUGAGCUUUUGAUGUGUGUUCACCAUUUUUCAUUCAACUCCUUGAUUCAUCAACCUACCUAUAGAAUUAAAGACCAAAACUAGAGUAGCCUAUCUUAAUCAGCAAUUCUCAUUCUCCAUUUCUUCCAUUUGUCAACACAAUUAAGCUGCGUUGUUGAAACCAGAGAACACCAUAGCCCCUAUAAAUAGAGGCACAUUCAUCACAAAAGAGAUACAAAAUCAGAUUACCUUCAAAAUCCAAUUAAAAUCAUAAGUUCUUAAUCUUGUUCGAACAACAGAGAGCAUCGCCGGAAACCACCGCGAGCGACCAUCACCGGCAUUGCCGCCGGCGUUCUGCUACCACCCACCCUCGCCUAGUAAUCCGGCCACCUCGUGUGUGCGGGUCCCGACCAGACGCCAUGCACCCAGUUACCAGCCGAUCUCCUUUUUCCUUCUCUGCUCUUCUGUUUUGCGAAACGAUCUCGACCCUCGGAGCUCAGGAAGGACGAUAAUCAAGGCUAAAGAAAAAGCCUAGCCAAUCACGAAAUUAAGGUGUCGACCGGGACGGCGGAUGCGAUUAGUGGCAAGGAUUUCGUCUUAUUAGGGCUCACCUAGUUUAAGCUUAAUUUGUACUAAGUUCAAGUAAGAAUUUUCUACUAAGUUAUGUAAGUCACUUUUGAAUAUUAAUAUAGAACAUAGUUAUAUUAGUUUUAUAAACGUAUUAUGAGGAUAAUAGCCUUGUAAUUCCCAAGAGGGAGUUACGGCGGUAAUGUUCCGACCAAAUUAGGGCAAUUCCGCUGCUUAAUUACUUGAAUUAGAGGUCGGGGCGUUACACCCUACCUCAUCACUAUCAUAAAAGGAUUACACGGAGAAGGAGAAGAAAGUGUAGAAACAUUCCACCAAGUCGAAUCUUUGGCCUAAGGAGUGCAUGAUGUUUAUGCACGGGAGAAGAUAAGUGAACUAGCCACAGGCACAUUCCUUGUACGGACCGUGCAACCCUUAUAUCUCUAUGUAGCCUAAGGAUAGCAGGGUGCCAUAGACCGUGCGAAUUUGGCACAAACCAUGUAGAGCUGAUGCAUUGUUCGUCGCACGAACCAUAUAAGACCUAUUGUGCUACCUUUCGCAAAACUACACGACCCUGUUGUACGGGCCAUGCAGACCUGCUGAAGACUGUGCGAUGAUUGACGGAUAAUCCACUUCUUGGGCACAUGUUCCCCUUAGUAUAAAUAGAAUAUUACCCUGAAUCUCAUAGGUGUAGAGUGUGUUGUAGUGUAGUUUUCUCUGACUUUUCUGAAUUUCCUAGGUUGCACACUCUCACUACUUUAUUGCUUUCUUAGUUUAACUCUUUAAUUUAGAUUUAAUGUGCUUUAUUGUUCUUUCAAAUUCUGCACUUUAGGAGCAAGAUCUCCUCUUUCGAUUCAAGUCUGGUAUUAUUUCUUA